UACGUAGGGUGCGAGCGUUGUCCGGAAUUACUGGGCGUAAAGGGUGCGCAGGCCGCGCGGGCAGUCAAAUGUGUAAUCCAGGGGCUCAACCCCUGAACUGCGCUUGAUACUUCCGCGCUCGAGCUUUGGAGAGGAGUCUGGAAUUCUCGGUGUAGCAGUGAAAUGCGUGGAUAUCGAGAAGAACACUUAGGGCGUAGGCAAGACUCUGGACAAAUGCUGACGCUCAUGCACGAAGGCUAGGGUAGCGAACGGG
rnacentral:rRNA from 1 species